AACGAACGCUGGCGGCAGGCCUAACACAUGCAAGUCGAGCGAAGCCUUCGGGCUUAGCGGCGGACGGGUGAGUAACGCGUGGGAACGUGCCCUUUGGUACGGAAUAGCCCCGGGAAACUGGGAGUAAUACCGUAUGUGGUCGAGAGACGAAAGAUUUAUCGCCAAAGGAUCGGCCCGCGUUGGAUUAGGUAGUUGGUGGGGUAAUGGCCUACCAAGCCGACGAUCCAUAGCUGGUUUGAGAGGAUGAUCAGCCACACUGGGACUGAGACACGGCCCAGACUCCUACGGGAGGCAGCAGUGGGGAAUUUUAGACGAUGGGGGAAACCCUGAUCUAGCCAUGCCGCGUGAUCGAUGAAGGCCUUAGGGUUGUAAAGAUCUUUCAGUGGGGAAGAUAAUGACUGUACCCACAGAAGAAGCCCCGGCUAACUCCGUGCCAGCCGCCGCGGUAAGAC
rnacentral:rRNA from 1 species